rnacentral:rRNA from 1 species
CCUACGGGUGGCAGCAGUGAGGAAUAUUGGUCAAUGGACGAGAGUCUGAACCAGCCAAGUAGCGUGAAGGAUGACUGCCCUAUGGGUUGUAAACUUCUUUUAUAUGGGAAUAAAAUGUUCCACGUGUGGGAUUUUGUAUGUACCAUAUGAAUAAGGAUCGGCUAACUCCGUGCCAGCAGCCGCGGUAAUACGGUGGAUCCGAGCGUUAUUCGGAUUUAUUGGGUUUAAAGGGAGCGUAGGUGGAUUGUUAAGUCAGUUGUGAAAGUUUGCGGCUCAACCGUAAAAUUGCAGUUGAAACUGGCAGUCUUGAGUACAGUAGAGGUGGGCGGAAUUCGUGGUGUAGCGGUGAAAUGCUUAGAUAUCACGAAGAACUCCGAUUGCGAAGGCAGUUCACUGGACUGCAACUGACACUGAGGCUCGAAAGUGUGGGUAUCAAACAGGAUUAGAUACCCUUGUAGUC